GUUUCAGCCGCCGCGGUAAUACGAACCGUCCAAACGUUAUUCGGAUUCAUUGGGCUUAAAGGGUACGUAGGCGGCGCUUCAAGUCGGGUGUGAAAUCCCUCGGCUCAACCGAGGAACUGCGCCCGAUACUGGAGUGCUUGAGGGAGACAGAGGUAAGCGGAACUGAUGGUGGAGCGGUGAAAUGCGUUGAUAUCAUCAGGAACACCAGUGGCGAAAGCGGCUUACUGGGUCUCUUCUGACGCUGAGGUACGAAAGCUAGGGGAGCGAACGGGAUUAGAAACCCGUGUAGUCC
rnacentral:rRNA from 1 species